rnacentral:lncRNA from 1 species
CGCCGAAAUGCUUUUCCAAACCACGGAAAGGAAAGUGCAAGGGAGAUAACACCGUUUGGUAUUAUAACGCGCCAUUUUAUAUAUGCAGCGUGAUUCCCCAAGGUUAUUGUGCAGGGAAUGCACAAUUUUUUGAAAGCUGCGAAGAAUGUGCUGAAACCUGCAACAAACUAUCCCUGAAGAGGUGCAACAUGAUCUCAAUCUGAAAUACGAGACAA